GACGAACGCUGGCGGCGUGCCUAAUACAUGCAAGUCGAACGCUUCUUCUUUCACCGGAGCUUGCUCCACCGAAAGAAAAAGAGUGGUGAACGGGUGAGUAACACGUGGGUAACCUGCCCAUCAGAAGGGGAUAACACUUGGAAACAGGUGCUAAUACCGUAUAACACUAUUUUCCGCAUGGAAGACAGUUGAAAGUCGCUUUUGCGUCACUGAUGGAUGGACCGGGGGUGCAGUAGCUAGUUGGUGAGGUAACGGCGCACCAAGGCAACGAUGCAUAGCCAACCUGAGAGGGUGAUCGGCCAAACUGGAACUGAGACACGGCCCAAACUCCUACGUGAGGUAGCAGUAGGGAAUCUUCGGCAAUGGACGAAAGUCUGACCGAGCAACGCCGCGUGAGUGAAGAAGGUUUUCGGAUCGUAAAACUCUGUUUUUAGAGAAGAACAAGGAUGAGAGUAAAUCGUUCAUCCCUUGACGGUAUCUAACCAGAAAGCCACGGCUAACUACGUGCCAGCCGCCGCAGUAA
rnacentral:rRNA from 1 species